rnacentral:rRNA from 1 species
UACGGAGGGGGCUAGCGUUGUUCGGAAUUACUGGGCGUAAAGCGCACGUAGGCGGCUUUGUAAGUUAGAGGUGAAAUCCCGGGGCUCAACCCCGGAACUGCCUUUGAUACUGGUAGUCUCGAGUCCGGAAGAGGUGAGUGGAAUUCCGAGUGUAGAGGUGAAAUUCGUAGAUAUUCGGAGGAACACCAGUGGCGAAGGCGGCUCACUGGUCCGGUACUGACGCUGAGGUGCGAAAGCGUGGGGAGCAAACAGG